AUCUUCUAGGCUGCGGUCAAAGAACUUCAGCAUGGAUUUACGAUGUUUUCUUGCAAUCUGUAAAUUGGAUUGGAUUGAACUUCUUACAUUUUGAAGACUUGUAAAGACACUACUAGUAGAAGUCUCACAACAAUCGGAUGGUCAGAUUGAGAAUUAGAGCUUGGUGAAGCUUGUUGUCUAGGGUUAGGAUUUAAAAAAUAAU
rnacentral:lncRNA from 1 species